CAGUAGCCGCGGGAAAACGUAGGGUGCAAGCGUUAAUCGGAAUUACUGGGCGUAAAGCGUGCGCAGGCGGUCCGCUAAGGCAGAUGUGAAAUCCCCGGGCUUAACCUGGGAACUGCAUUUGUGACUGGCGGGCUAGAGUAUGGCAGAGGGGGGGUGGAAUUCCGCGUGUAGCAGUGAAAUGCGUAGAUAUGCGGAGGAACACCGAUGGCGAAGGCAGCCCCCUGGGCCAAUACUGACGCUCAUGCACGAAAGCGUGGGGAGCAAACAGGAUUAGAUACCCCCGUAGUCCCUGUCUCUUAUA
rnacentral:rRNA from 1 species